rnacentral:rRNA from 1 species
AUUGAACGCUGGCGGCAGGCUUAACACAUGCAAGUCGAGCGGGGGAAGGUAGCUUGCUACUGGACCUAGCGGCGGACGGGUGAGUAAUGCUUAGGAAUCUGCCUAUUAGUGGGGGACAACAUCUCGAAAGGGGUGCUAAUACCGCAUACGUCCUACGUGAGAAAGCAGGGGAUCUUCGGACCUUGCGCUAAUAGCUGACCCUAAGUCGGAUUAGCUAGUUGGUGGGGUAAAGGCCUACCAAGGAGACGAUCUGUAGCGGGUCUGAGAGGAUGAUCCGCCACACUGGGACUGAGACACGGCCCAGACUCCUACGGGAGGCAGCAGUGGGGAAUAUUGGACAAUGGGGGGAACCCUGAUCCAGCCAUGCCGCGUGUGUGAAGAAGGCCUUAUGGUUGUAAAGCACUUUAAGCGAGGAGGAGGCUACUUUAGUUAAUACCUAGAGAUAGUGGACGUUACUCGCAGAAUAAGCACCGGCUAACUCUGUGCCAGCCGCCGCGGUAA